CAGACCAGGAAUAUGUAAGGCUUGUUGAAGUACGUUGAAGAAGUGUAACAUUUGUUGGAGGAACUGCAAGAAUACCGAAGAUAAAUAAAAAAAACGUUU
rnacentral:lncRNA from 1 species